rnacentral:misc_RNA from 1 species
GAUGAAGAACGUAGCGAAAUGCGAUAAGUAAUGUGAAUUGCAGAAUUCAGUGAAUCAUCGAAUCUUUGAACGCACAUUGCGCCCGUUAGCAUUCUAGCGGGCAUGCCUGUCCGAGCGUCAUUUCAACCCUCAGGGUCCCCGUUCCGGCGGGGAACCUGGUGUUGGGGAUCGGCCCGCCCCGUGCGGCGCUGUCCCCCAAAUUCAGUGGCGGUCUCGCUGCAGCCUCCCCUGCGUAGUAGUUACAACCUCGCAUCGGAGCUCAGCGCGGCCACGCCGUAAAACCCCCGACUUUCUGAACGUUGACCUCGGAUCAGGUAGGAAUACCCGCUGAACUUAAGCAUAUCAAUAAGCGGAGGA